rnacentral:rRNA from 1 species
AUUGAACGCUGGCGGCAUGCUUUACACAUGCAAGUCGAACGGCAGCGCGGGCUUCGGCCUGGCGGCGAGUGGCGAACGGGUGAGUAAUACAUCGGAACGUGCCCAGUAGUGGGGGAUAGCUCGGCGAAAGCCGGAUUAAUACCGCAUACGACCUGAGGGUGAAAGCGGGGGAUCUUCGGACCUCGCGCUAUUGGAGCGGCCGAUGGCAGAUUAGCUAGUUGGUGGGGUAAAGGCCUACCAAGGCGACGGUCUGUAGCUGGUGUGAGAGGGCGACCCGCCACACCUGGACCGUGACCACGGCCCAAACUCCUCCGGGAGGCAGCGGGGGGAAUUUUGGAACAUGGGGCGAAUCCCUGAUCAGGCAAGGCCGGUGGUGGGAGGAGGGCUUUCGGUUGUAAAGCACUUUUGGCGGGAACGAAAAGGACUGUGCCAAUACCACGGUUCGAUGACGGUACCCGCAGAAUAAGCACCGGCUAACUACGUG